GUACUUGCUGCGGCAGCAUGUGUACUAAAAUUGGAAUGAAACAGAGAAAAUCAGCAUGGCCCCUGCACAAGGAUGACAUGCAAAUUCGUGAAGCGUUCCUUAUUUUU
ensembl:snRNA U6 U6 spliceosomal RNA